rnacentral:lncRNA from 1 species
UGGCUGGCCUCCAAUGCAAGAACAAGCAACAGCUUAGCAGAGCACUGGAUCCAAUUGUGCCCCCCAAGUCCUUUUCUCUUUCCCACCCGCCCCAAGCUCAAGACAACCAGACCCAGCGAAGCCAAGGGCCAUUCCAGAAGGCUGGAAAAAGAUGAGGCACCAUGGCCAUCACUGUCGGCUCCUUGGGACUCCAGUGCUCACCACCCAUCUGAGGGCAGAGAGACACCCCUUGGAGGCCGGCCGCCCCUUAGAAGCCAUGCUGAGCUGGACCAGGCCCGGGAGUCCAGUUGACCCAGCUCACCCCCUGGGCCUCGGGGCAUGUGCCUAGCUUCAUGUUGAGGGUGUACGUGUGGCUGGCCCGGGAGUGUGAGUGCGGUAGAGGGAGGGGCCCUCCGAGCUGCUCCAUCCGUCCGUUUUAUUAGGGACACAUUAAUCUAUAAUCAAAUACACCUCAUAAAAUUUUUA